CGCCGCGCGACGGGCCGCCGCCGCUGGAGGGCCCGCUGCUGACGCCCUCCGGCGAGGCCUGGCCCGGCAGCGCGCCGCCGC
rnacentral:pre_miRNA from 1 species